rnacentral:tRNA from 1 species
GCCCCCGUAGCUCAGUCGGUAGAGCACACCCUUGGUAAGGGUGAGGUCGGAGGUUCGAUUCCUCUCGUGGGCACCA